rnacentral:rRNA from 1 species
UACGAAGGGGAUGAGCGUUAUCCGGUUUUAUUGGGCGUAAAGGUCUUGAAAAUGGUGGCCCUUUGUUGGUUUAGUGUGAAAUCCUGAUCAAGAACAGGUAGGCACUUUUGACUAAAGGAGCUUGAGUAUUUGGGAAGCAAACAGAAUUACGCGAGGGAGGAGUGAAAUCCUUAGACAUGCGUAGGAAUGCCGCUAGGCGAAAGCAGUUUGUUAUCAUCUUACUGACGCUGAAGGACGAAGGCGUGGUGAGCAAACAGG